rnacentral:pre_miRNA from 1 species
GAAAUAUAAGAACCUGUCUCUUAACUUUUAACUAAAAAGCUAAGAACCGGCUCUUAAAUAAGAGUUUUAAGAGCCGGUUCUUAAUUUUUUUAGUUAAAAGUUAAGAGACGGGUUCUUAUAUUUC